UACGUAGGGUGCAAGCGUUAAUCGGAAUUACUGGGCGUAAAGCGUGCGCAGGCGGUGAUGUAAGACAGGUGUGAAAUCCCCGGGCUUAACCUGGGAACUGCAUUUGUGACUGCAUCGCUGGAGUGCGGCAGAGGGGAUGGAAUUCCGCGUGUAGCAGUGAAAUGCGUAGAUAUGCGGAGGAACACCGAUGGCGAAGGCACUCUGCUGGGCCGACACUGACACUGAGAGACGAAAGCUAGGGAGCGAAUGGGAUUAGAU
rnacentral:rRNA from 1 species